GUCAGGCAUUGUGGUGAACACCUGUAAUCCCAGCUACUGGGAGGCUGAGACAGGAGGUAUCACAAGUUCAAGACCAGCCUUGGCAACUUGGGAAGACCCUGUCUCAA
rnacentral:sRNA from 1 species